rnacentral:tRNA from 1 species
ACCGUGGUGAUUCAGGGGUAGAAUUCUCACCUUCUAUGUGUGAGACCCAGGUUCAAUUCCCAGCCAGUGCA